CUACGGGUCGCACCAGUGGGGAAUAUUGCACAAUGGGCGCAAGCCUGAUGCAGCCAUGCCGCGUGUAUGAAGAAAGCCUUCGGGUUGUAAAGUACUUUCAGCGGGGAGGAAGGGAGUAAAGUUAAUACCUUUGCUCAUUGACGUUACCCGCAGAAGAAGCACCGGCUAACUCCGUGCCAGCAGCCGCGGUAAUACGGAGGGUGCAAGCGUUAAUCGGAAUUACUGGGCGUAAAGCGCACGCAGGCGGUUUGUUAAGUCAGAUGUGAAAUCCCCGGGCUCAACCUGGGAACUGCAUCUGAGACUGGCAAGCUUGAGCCUCGUAGAGGGGGGUAGAAUUCCAGGUGUAGCGGUGAAAUGCGUAGAGAUCUGGAGGAAUACCGGUGGCGAAGGCGGCCCCCUGGACGAAGACUGACGCUCAGGUGCGAAAGCGUGGGGAGCAAACAGGAUUAGAUACCCUAGUAGUC
rnacentral:rRNA from 1 species